rnacentral:rRNA from 1 species
CGGUCCAGACUCCUACGGGAGGCAGCAGUAGGGAAUCUUCGGCAAUGGACGGAAGUCUGACCGAGCAACGCCGCGUGAGUGAAGAAGGUUUUCGGAUCGUAAAGCUCUGUUGUUAGAGAAGAACGUUGGUAGGAGUGGAAAAUCUACCAAGUGACGGUAACUAACCAGAAAGGGACGGCUAACUACGUGCCAGCAGCCGCGGUAA